AAGAAAAAGAUGUAUAAUCUGCUCAAUGAUUUUUUAAAUUGCUGUGGUAUUUUGACUAUACAAAGGUAUUGAAAUAAGAUUUUAAAUGAGUGCUAAGAGAAUGAUUAAACAAUUAAAAGCUUUCUUUAAUUAAAAAAUUAAAUUUAAUUUUUUUAGUGCAAAAGCAAAAAUAAAAUUUAGGGACAAGAAGACCCUAUGAAUUUUUAUUGUUAAUAAUUAAUAUUUAAGUUAUUAAUAAUUUAAUUGGGGCGAUAAAAAAAGAAUAAGUAUCUUUUUAGUUAUAAAAUAAGUUCCGUUUUUAGCGAUUAAAUGAAAUAAAUACUCUAGGGAUAACAGCGUAAUAAUUUUGGAUAGUUCAUAUAGAUAAAAUAGUUUGCGACCUCGAUGUUGGAUUAGGAUUCUUUUUUGGUGAAGAAGUUAAAGAAAGAAGUUUGUUCAACUUUUAAAUUCCUACAUGAUCUGAGUUCAAAACCGGAGA
rnacentral:rRNA from 1 species